rnacentral:rRNA from 1 species
ACGAACGCUGGCGGCGUGCUUAACACAUGCAAGUCGAGCGGAAAGGCCCUUUCGGGGGUCCUCGAGCGGCGAACGGGUGAGUAACACGUGAGUAAUCUGCCCUUCACUUGGGGAUAACCUCCGGAAACGGUGGCUAAUACCCGAUACGACCAUUCCUCGCAUGAGGUGGUGGUGGAAAGUUUUUCGGUGGGGGAUGUGCUCGCGGCCUAUCAGCUUGUUGGUGGGGUAAUGGCCUACCAAGGCUUCGACGGGUAGCCGGCCUGAGAGGGUGACCGGCCACACUGGGACUGAGACACGGCCCAGACUCCUACGGGAGGCAGCAGUGGGGAAUAUUGGACAAUGGGCGGAAGCCUGAUCCAGCAACGCCGCGUGAGGGAUGACGGCCUUCGGGUUGUAAACCUCUUUCACCUGUGACGAAGCGAAAGUGACGGUAGCAGGAGAAGAAGCACCGGCCAACUACGUG